CGGUUGUUCAAUUUGGAAGAUGAAAGUUGAUUUGUGUUCUCCUCCGUGAGUACAUCGAAAUCAUAUACUUACUUGCCAAAGAUGAUGCUCGGGUGAAUGAGAAAUUGAGGCUCAAAAUGUGCCACUCAAAAUGGAGUUUAUGUGGGAAAAAUGAAUUUGUCCCACAUAGGAAAAAGAUGAGAAACUCCAAAGGUCAUUGCCAUUAAUGGUAGCCUAGCCUAUAAAUAGUGGCUCAU
rnacentral:lncRNA from 1 species